rnacentral:rRNA from 1 species
CCCUUAGAUGUUCUGGGCCGCACGCGUGCUACACUGAGUGGAUCAGCGGGUCAGGUUGCGCGAAAGCGUUUCCUAAUCUUUAAAUCCGCUCGUGAUGGGGAUUGACGGUUGCAAUUUUCUGUCAUGAACGAGGAAUACCUUGUAAGCGCGGGUCAUCAUCCCGCGCUGAAUACGUUCCUGCCCUUUGUACACACCGCCCGUCGCUCCUACCGAUUGAGUGGUCCGGUGAGGCUUUGGGAUCUGAGCGGAAAGAGCGUUUCGCUGUUUCUGCUCGGAAAACUCAGUCGAACCUUAUCAUUUAGAGGAAGGAGAAGUCGUAACA